rnacentral:rRNA from 1 species
UAAGCAUAUCAAUAAGCGGAGGAAAAGAAACCAACAGGGAUUGCCCUAGUAACGGCGAGUGAAGCGGCAACAGCUCAAAUUUGAAAUCUGGCGUCUUUGGCGUCCGAGUUGUAAUUUGCAGAGGGCGCUUUGGCAUUGGCAGCGGUCCAAGUUCCUUGGAACAGGACGUCACAGAGGGUGAGAAUCCCGUACGUGGUCGCUAGCCUUUACCGUGUAAAGCCCCUUCGACGAGUCGAGUUGUUUGGGAAUGCAGCUCUAAAUGGGAGGUAAAUUUCUUCUAAAGCUAAAUACUGGCCAGAGACCGAUAGCGCACAAGUAGAGUGAUCGAAAGAUGAAAAGCACUUUGGAAAGAGAGUUAAAAAGCACGUGAAAUUGUUGAAAGGGAAGCGCUUGCAGCCAGACUUGCCUGUAGUUGCUCAUCCGGGUUUUUACCCGGUGCACUCUUCUAUAGGCAGGCCAGCAUCAGUUUGGGCGGUUGGAUAAAGGUCUCUGUCACGUACCUCCUCUCGGGGAGAACUUAUAGGGGAGACGUAAUGCAACCAGCCUGGACUGAGGUCCGCGCAUCUGCUAGGAUGCUGGCGUAAUGGCUGUAAGCGGCCCGUCUUGAAACACGGACCAAGGAGUCUAACAUCUAUGCGAGUGUUUGGGUGUCAAGCCCGAGCGCGUAAUGAAAGUGAACGGAGGUGGGAACCUUUCGGGGUGCACCAUCGACCGAUCCUGAUGUCUUCGGAUGGAUUUGAGUAAGAGCAUAGCUGUUGGGACCCGAAAGAUGGUGAACUAUGCUUGAAUAGGGUGAAGCCAGAGGAAACUCUGGUGGAGGCUCGCAGCGGUUCUGACGUGCAAAUCGAUCGUCAAAUUUGGGCAUAGGGGCGAAAGACUAAUCGAACUAUCUAGUAGCUGGUUCCUGCCGAA